rnacentral:lncRNA from 1 species
CAUUGAAUGAGCCAAUCAAACAUUAAAAGAAAUGUUAUUAAAACAAAAAGGGAGAAUAUGGGGCACACCUAAGCAAAGGUUAAGUCAAGCCCUAUUUACUAUUAGUUUUUUGAAUGAAGCUUCGGAUGGUCUCAUUGCAGCUGCCAGACAUUGGCAGCCCCAAAACACCCCUGAUUUACAACAACCUAUUUUUUAUAGACCUCCGAUGGAAAACACUUGGUUACCAGCCUUAGCGUUAAAAUGGGGCUGAGGUUAUGCUUAUAUUUCCACAGGUGAUUCCAAAUUCUGGAUUCCCACAAAGAACAUCAAACUUUGAUGUGAACAACAAGAGGAAGUUUGACACCCUGGGUCUGACUGAAUAUAUGCAACGUUUGCAUAUUAACAGACCUACCUUCAGAAUUCCAUUAACCUGUACAUGUACAUCUACCGUCCUGACAUGAGGUCAACUAAAAAAUUUGACUAAUGAAGGACAACACGUAGUGCAACAAUCUGGUCAGCCUCUGAAUGCUACUACACUGUUUCUUGCCAUGCUUUCUGUGAUCACUCUUCAGUCAGAGUCCGUACAUCCUGUGAGCAAGAACUGGGGUCUGGCUGCCUGUACAGCUCAACCACCCAUGGCAAGAUUCACCUGUGACCAUGAUGCUACAACAAAUUAUGAGACACGUGUCAAAAUGAGUAAAAAGAUUCGUUGGACUUGUUAUCACCGCUAUUUUGAGAAUCAUUGCUGUGACUGCCACCACUGCUGCUGCUGGAGUUGCUUUACAACAGACUAUUCAGACAACAGACUUUGUUCAGGACUGGCAUAAGGACUCUGAGAAAUUAUGGUCCUUACAAAGACAGAUUGACAGUGAUCUUUCUAGCCAAUUAGCUGAUUUACAACAAGCUGUAAUAAUGUUGGGUGAUCAGAUUGUGAGCCUUCAAAGGCAGAUCCAAUUUAAGUGUGAUUGGAAUACCAGUACUUUCUGUGUAACUCCUAUUCCUUAUAAUGAAACUGCCUUCCCUUGGGAGACAGAAUGAAAACAUCUGUUAAACCAUGGUAAUAUAUCUUCUGAGAUAUUGAAUUUGCAAAAUCAAAUAACCGAGACCUAUCAAAAACAGUUAGAAUCUCUCGGUGGUUUGAAUCUCAUGCAGGGAAUGAUGGAUGGGCUAAGUAAAACGAACCCAAUAUCACAAAUCAAAACCCUCUUGGGGUCUUUGGUGGGAUUAUUGUUCUUAGUUAUAUGUAUGUGUCUUUUCUUUUGUUUAGUCUGGUAAAGAUUGCAAGGAUCCCAAAGAAUAACUAAUCAACAAUCUGCUGUAUUCUCACUUAUGCUCCAUAGAAUGAAGCAAAAACAAAAGGGGGAAGUGUAGAGAAGAAUGUUGUUUAAGGUGAACUCUGGGGAAAUGGUGCCAGGAACAGCAGAUGUUCUCUUGAAUGUGAGAUAACAUCCAGGGAGCAUUGCAUGCAAUGCUCCUUCUGUUCCUGGGACCUUGAGUCCCGAGGGAAUGAGUAUUCUGCUUUGGGAAAGCUCAAGAUUAGGUAUGAAAGCUUUCAAGAUGUUAUUUCUAAGAAAACAGCCUCAAGGCCUUGGUUGUAAAACUCUCACGUUUCUCAUGCUCUCCCAUUGUACACCGCCUCAAUAAAAGAUAUGGGCAACAGAGCCAAGUUGCUGUUUUGCCUUGUGAGCU